AUUUAUAUAGUAUAAUUAUUAUGUUUGACUUCCAAUCAAAAGAUCUAGAAUUUAGUAUAAAUA
rnacentral:tRNA from 1 species